GUGUAAGAUGUACGCAUCCUUCUAUUUCGGUAGACCCUCGGCUAAACUGAUCUUUCUAUAUAACGAAAAAAAUUCUCUUCUCAGUCCCAUUAUUUCAGUCACAGCUUUUGAGAAGUCUACGAGUUGAAGAAAAGAUUGAGAAAGUUGAUACAAUGGAAAGGCUCUUUACUGUUGAAAACGUUCAAGUUCGAGAAGAGGAUUUCAUCCAUUGUAAUGUGUGCAAAACCCGAAUAGGAACAACAGCGGAUCACAUUGAAAACGUUUAAUGUACAAGUACUGGACGACCACAAGUAUGCUGAACAAGAUAGUGGAAAUACCGUUGCCGAUAUUUGCUGUGUCAAAUGUGGAAUGUUGCUUGGUUUGAAACUUAUUGCAGUCCCCCAACCGACCUUGUAUGUUAGAGAAGGAAGAUUCUUGAUGAAAUUGUAUGAAUAUGCAAAAUGCAAUGUGAUAAUGAUUUGUAAGGUAUUAAUACAAAUAAGUAUUUUUACGGCAGGAACAAGCUUGUUUAUUGGGGUGAUAGAUGUUCCAAUUUUUUUUGAAGAAUACAAUAUUGAACAUGAUGAUCAGGUUCCUAAUAAUCAAGUUG